rnacentral:misc_RNA from 1 species
UUGUUUAUUAGUUUGCGCUUCAGAGCCUUUCGACUAAGAAGUUUAUCGCGGCUUUAUUUCGAGGUUUGCUAUCAUUGAGUCGCUAAGGUUAUACGAAUAUAAACCAGAACGAACAAAUCCAGCGGGUUAAAAUUUUGAAAGCAUCGAGACACUAGCUUGGGUCAAUCAACGGGGAGGUGUUCUCACAAAGGAGGCAGCGACCGUCGAAGGCGAAAGAUCUAGGCAAGACGAAGGUUUCGCGGGUCAACAUCAGUCCUCUGACAGGCCGAAACCAUGCCAAAGAGACUUCCGUUUUGUUUUGGGUGUGGUAAUGAUCCUUCCGCAGGUUCACCUACGGAAA